UACAGGGCUGGUGCUGUAUCCACUGUGCCUCCUAGCUGCCCCUCCAUGGUUUUUAAAAUUGACAUUUUUCUAAGUAUUAGAGCUUUGGUGUUUUCUGUGGUUGUUGGCAACUUGCAUUUCCUCUUUUAGAAACUGCCUGUUCAUAAUUCUUGAUCACUUGUUGAUUGGAAAAUAGCUUUGGUUUGUUUGUGGGUCAUUGAACCUAUGGGAGCUAAUGAGAUCAGUAAGGAAGACAGUGUAGACAGAGAAGAGCCUUAGUCUCAUCUCUCAGCCCCAGAUUCCUCAUCUAAAAAAGGGUUAUGAUAAUACCUACCUCAUAGCAUUAUUGUUGUUGCUAUUUAGUCAUGUGCAACUCUCUGUGUAGACAGAGAAGGGGGUCCAGGACAGAGCUUUGGGAUAUGCCCACUGUUAGGGGGCAUGAUGUGAAUAUGAGGACUGAAAAGGGACAGCCAGACGGGUAGAAGGAAGACAAGAGAUGGAGUCCAAGAAUUGAAGCAUCUGCCCAAGAAAUGGUCAUCCAUUCUCUGUUUGAGGGUCCCCAAGGUUGGAGAGACCCAAGACUCCAGGAGGUGGCCGCCAGAACAGACCACUAUGCUCCAUCUGCAGUCUGACAAGAGCCAGGAGCCAUGGGGCUAUCAUAUUCCCAUUCCCAGAAACUGCCCUCCGAAUGCAUCCUGUGAUCCCAAUCACAUUGGCAGUCACGAGGCACCAUAAAGUCACAUUCACCUUGCAGGCCACCAAAAUCCCCAGAGGUUUUUCGGAACAACUGUUGCCCAACUAUAUUUCCUGGAACUUGUCCUGGGGAAGUUCAUUAUUUGUCCCAUUGUGCAAGACUGUACAUUUCUGCUUAUUGAAUUUCAUGUUAUUAGCCUCAGCCCAUCGAGAUCUGACUCUGUCUUGUGGUAUGUAAGCUCUUCCACCCAGCUCAGUGGCAUCUGCCAAUCUGAUGAGCAUACCUUCAAUGUCUUUAUCCAAGUCAUUGAUAAAAAUGUUCCAGGACCUGUACAGAUCCAGGGGGUCUGUGUGGGUCUCCCCCAGAGACCUUCUGCCACGUUGAUGCUAUACUACUAGCUACUCUGACUCUUGCCAUCCAACUUGUUCUGAAUUGAUCUGAUUUGUCAUCUGGUUCAUCUCCAUGACAGUACUAGGAGAUAUUUUAUCAAAAACUUUGAUCAGCAGAGUAUAUCCACAGCAUUUUCUCAGUUUAGUAAUACUGCCAGAAAUGGAAAUGAGGUUGGUCUGGCAUAACUCAUGCUUGCUGAAGCCAGGUUGGCUCUUCGAAGCCACUGCUUCUCUUUCUAGAUGUUUGACAACCAUCUCUUUAAUGAUCGAUUCCUGAACUUUCCUAGGAAUUCAAGUCAAGCUCAUAGGCUUAUCACAGCUUGCAGACUUAUUCUGUUCUCUUUUCUGGAAAAAAAAAAGGGGGGGGAUAACAUUUGUCUUUCGGCAAUCUUGUGCCAUCUCUCCCACUUUCCAGAAUCUUUCCAAUGUCCCUGACAGUAACUCAGCAAUUACACCUUUCAGUGCCUUUAGGACCCAAGGGUGGAGAUCAUCUGGUCCGGGACACUUGAACUGCCCGAAAGCAGUGAAGGCUUCUAUUACUAUCUCCUCACUUAUCUUGGGGAUCAACUCCCUGGGAGUCACUUUUGUUUUGUCCUUUCUAGCGCAAAGAUCAUUCUUCUUGGCAGAGGAAACAGAAACAAAACAGGAAUUCUUAAAGGUCUGGAUGUAAUCUGGGACUCCUGGGAGGAGGAAACUGCUCUGUUCCUGGCAUGGCAGUGGCUGAUGGUGUGGCGAGGCACCUGUAUCCAGAGCAUAGAUACACCAGCACAGAGAGAUGCCAUGAGAUAGUCACCGAAGAAAGACAGCUUCAGGAAGUGUGAGCCCACCAUGGCAGAGAGUGGUGCUAGCUAUGACCACGACAAAAUCUUUGGAACCUAGCUGAGUGGGCCAAGCCCUGUGAAGAAGCAUCACUGGUCCAGGGGAGCUGCCUGAGAAAUCAACAAGGAAGGGAAGGACUCCCAAAGUCAGGAGUCUGGAAGUACCCCCCUCCAUGGGGGCCUCACCGCUAUGAUCCUAUAUGUUUGAAACACUCUCCCCAUGGAUACCGGGUCUAGCCAUGGGAGAGUAGGCCCCAUGUUCUGGAGAAAAUGUUUUGUAAAGAACUUUCCUACUAUGCUAUCUUAGUAAAUAAAUGCCUUCCUAGAAGCAAA